CUUGGUCUCUGCUUAGCGCCCUUGAGUCGUUGAGAUGUGCAGACUGGCUUCACUCCGUCGAUGCUUUAUAAGUGUUGCCUCUUUCGGGGUCGGGGUUACAUGUGCAGAAAUUACACCAUACUUUCAUUUGUUUGGUGGCUACUUCUCUUGAUGUUUUAACUGUUACUCAGACCUUUAAGUUAGCUGGAGGGACUUGGGACACACAGCCCUACAACAUGAAGCCUAUAGCAUCUGAGUUCUUGGACAGGACCAGAAAAGGCAUGGACUUCUUUCUAUUUUGAGACAGAGUCUCACUCUGUUGCCCAGGCUGGAGUGCAGUGAUGCAAUCUUGGCUCACUGCAGCCUCUGCUUCCCAGGUUCAAGCGAUUCUCUUGGCUCAGCCUCCCCAGUAGCUGGUAUUACAGGCACGCAUCACCAUGCCUGGCUGAUGUUUGUAUUUAUAGGAGAGACAGGGUUUCACUGUGUUGUUCAGGGUGGUCUCGAACUCCUGACCUGAGAUGAUCCACCCGCCUUGGCCUCGCAAAGUGCUGGAAUUACAGGCAUGAGCCACUGCACCUGGUUAAGAUAUGGAUUUCUAAGUGCUAUAUAUCUGGGUAUGAUCUCAUUUAAGGAUUAUACAAAAAGAUCUAGUGCUAGAUUCUCCACUGACAGACAUGAGCACAUGCAACUAUUGAACACUUGAAGUGUCACUAGUGUUCCUGAGGAACUGAAUUUCUCAUUUGAAUUAAUUUAAAGUAAAAAAUACUAGCUGGUUUGGGAGGCCGAGGCAGGUGGAUCACGAGGUGAAGAGAUCGAGACCAUCCUGGUCAACAUGGUGAAACCCCAUCUCUACUAAUGAUACAAAAAAUUAGCUGGGCGUGGUGGCACGUGCCUGUAAUCCCAGCUACUCAGGAGGCUGAGGCAGGAGAAUUGCCUGAACCCAGGAAGUUGUGGUGAGCCGAGAUUGCGCCAUUGCACUCCAGCCUGGGUAACAAGAGUGAAACUCCGUCUCAAAAAAAAAAAAAGAAAAAAAAAUACUAGCUGGGCACAGUGGCUCACACUUGUAAUCUCAGCACUUUGGAAGGCCCAGGCAGGAGGAUCACUUGAGCUCGAGUUCAAGACCAACCUGGACAACAUUGUGAGACCUCAUCUCUAUAAAAAAAUAGAAAAAAAAAUUAGCUGGGCAUGGUGGUGCAUGCCUGUGGUCCCAGCUACUCAGGAAGCUGCGGGGUGGGAGGAUCACUUGAGCCCAGGAGUUCUGGGAGGAGUUUGGGGGCAAGAGGUUGCCUUUCAGGCAGGGCACAGGAGCCUUGGAGAAGGUGCUAGAAGCUGGGGUUCCUGUGCCAAGGACUGGGAAGGCAGGUGAAGUCCUGGUUGGUGGAGUCAUGGGUAGGGGCUGGGCUGGGUGUGGGGCUGGAUGGUUUGUGCUCCCAUGCCAGCCUCCCUCUGGGUUGGUGGGACCCUCCUGAAGUCUUGGUGUGCCUGGACCUGGGUGAAGCCACACUGCAGGGACGUUCAUGUGUACAAAGUGAUCUUUCUUCCAGAAGAACAGUCUGCAAAGGUGUUUCUGCAAGCUUGCCAGAUGCCUGUGCACACCUUGUAGUGGUCCUGAAUUGAUGAACUGAUGGCUGAGUUGGGCGGAAGAGACUGUGUGCUGUAGAACUUAGAGCAGGAAGGAAGAAGUCCAUUGUCAGUUGAGUUCAGGGAAAGCUUCCUGGAGGAGGUGGAGUUUGAGCAGGGCCAUGAAGGAUGGGGGCUUUGUCCUGGAGGAAGGAGAGGUGGCAGGCCCUGCAGGGAAAUACCACACGUGGCAUCUACUCAUUCUAGGGGCCGUGUCCCCACCUCUCAACUCCCCUGCUCAUCUCCAGAGCUUGCAUCUGACUGAACUUCCUGCUUUUCCAUCUCUACUCUAAGCCUCUCUGGCCCCUACCUUUGCCCAUGCUGCCAUUCUCUCCAGCUUGUGUGUGUAUCUCACCCCUGUGUCUUGCUAGCUCUGUAUGCUGAAAUCCGGCUAGCAUGUCUGGACACUUCUUGUUGCUUCUACCUCCUCCAUUU
ensembl:lncRNA